rnacentral:rRNA from 1 species
UACGUAGGGUGCAAGCGUUUAAUCGGAAUUACUGGGCGUAAAGCGUGCGCAGGCGGCUUUGCAAGACAGAUGUGAAAUCCCCGGGCUUAACCUGGGAACUGCAUUUGUGACUGCAUGGCUGGAGUGCGGCAGAGGGGGAUGGAAUUCCGCGUGUAGCAGUGAAAUGCGUAGAUAUGCGGAGGAACACCGAUGGCGAAGGCAAUCCCCUGGGCCUGCACUGACGCUCAU